AGGAGGCUCUUGGGUCGUAAACCUCUUUUCUCAGGGAAGAACACAAUGACGGUACCUGAGGAAUAAGCAUCGGCUAACUCCGUGCCAGCAGCCGCGGUAAUACGGAGGAUGCAAGCGUUAUCCGGAAUGAUUGGGCGUAAAGCGUCCGCAGGUGGCGAUGUAAGUCUGCUGUUAAAGCGUCUAGCUCAACUAGAUAAGAGCAGUGGAAACUACUUAGCUAGAGUGCGUUCGGGGCAGAGGGAAUUCCUGGUGUAGCGGUGAAAUGCGUAGAGAUCAGGAAGAACACCAGUGGCGAAGGCGCUCUGCUAGGCCGCAACUGACACUGAGGGACGAAAGCUAGGGGAGCGAAUGGGAUUAGAUA
rnacentral:rRNA from 1 species